rnacentral:sRNA from 1 species
AGGAUGAUGACAGUAAUAUGGAGCUUGUGUUUAAUCUUCUGCCUCUCUAACUCAAUACUU